rnacentral:lncRNA from 12 species
ACUCUUCAAGUCCUUCAGUACAGUUCCACUUAGCACUUUGCUUGCCACUACGCAGCUGCAGAGAUGAAUAACCAAGAAGGUACCUAUGCAGAACUCAAUCAGGCUAUGGACUCAAAAAGAUAGCAAAUGAAAGCUAAAGGUGCUAAAUGUUCCAUUUUAGUAACUGAGCAGAAAAUAAGCUAUGCAGAAUUAAAUCUUCAAAAUACUUUUCAGGAUCAAGGGAACAACAAGAACUACAACUGCAAAGUGUUUUCAUUUGUCUUCCUACUAUUUACCAUCAUGUCCAGGGAAGUUCAUUACUGGGAUCCUGGGAAUCAUCUGCUUUGUCUUGAUGUCCACUAUGUUCGCAAUAGCUGGUAUUCUCCUGUUUUUUGGACAUCUUCAUGGAUAAGAGUCUCCCAGAGAAGCCAUUAUAGUUCAUCUGUGCAGGUUGUCAGUAUCUUCAGAGAGAGACACGAAUUGUCCUUUUUUUUUUAUUUUGAGUCGAGCAAAGGUUCUUUUGAAUCCUGUUUAGACAUGAAAACAGACAGUUUGGAAGAUACCCUUUUUUAUUAA